AUGUGCUAUUUCAAAAUAAAGGAGCUGUUUUCGUCAACAGUCGAGAAAGUUACGAUCUACAGUUGUGUCAAUACCAAAAAGCUCAUGUGCCUGAUUUUUGCCUCUUUCUUGUUUUAUUUUAUUAAACAAUACCACUCCAAAGCCCUUGCAGUUAUAUGCAUUCACUUUGAGGGAGGAUGCCACAUUUUAGCUAUUCCCUUAUCCUUGAAGACAAAAGCUUUGAAAAAAUUAGGACCAUGUUUGAGUCCUAGAUACAUAAAGUAUGCUCUCCAGCGAAAUGCAACGUAUUGUUUCAAGCUGAUUUUCCCCCUUUUCCUUGGGAGAAAAGUACAGCAUCUUAAACUAAAGCACACUUCAGCCUUCCCCCUGCGCUCCUUGGUGCCAGCAGCCACAACACAGGGCUUUCAUCUAGGCUUCAAAGUGUGGUGGAGGGAGUUUGGGGGAGGGGAGUGGGGAAGAAAGGGAGGGCAAGUUGAAUGCAAAAAAGGAAACAAACAAACAAAAAAGAAAAAUGGAAUGGGGUGGGUAGAAGGAGAAGUCUCCCAUCUCUCGAUUAUCACGUCCCCGGGUCCUGGGUCCUGGUUGAGCUUCCAGAUGCAAAACCCUCACAGGUUUCCCCUGUUGUGUGUGGGGUGUUUUUUUUUUUUUUUUUUUUUUUUGUUACUGCCACUUCCCAUGCUGGGAAGAUUCUUGUCAUCCCUCACAUAUUUUAUCCACAGAAAAGGCUGCCCUGCCCUGGGCUUGGUGAUUGAGGCUGUGCCCCUGGUGUGCCACUCUAUCACUGGUUCCCAAGGCUGUCUAGCCUGGGAAAAGCUGCAUGGACACGUUCCAAAAUCAGCAUUACAUGCAUCAUUGUUCUUACCCUCCCUGAUUAGAGUGCACACAAUGAAAACAACAGCAACAGCCUCGUUUUCUAGCCCUCCUCCCCACAAGGCAGUUCUUAGUCUGUUUUUCUUUCUCCGGGUCUUCCUACAAGUUAACCGCUUCAGUGCUGGGGGAGUCCCAGACCUCACAGCAACUGCCCUGCCAAGUGGCUUUGUGCUUCUGGGAGGUCACUCCCAGCUCCCGGGCAGUGGGGCGGCAGGCAGGCUUGGCCUUCUCCUGGAAAUCUGGGCAGAGUAA
rnacentral:lncRNA from 1 species